AUAACUAAAAAAUUACUUUAUAUUUUAAAAUCUAUUGCAAAUAUUGAAAAUAUCUAAUAAAUUAUUUAAUUAUUAUUAAAUUUGUCAUGCAUUCAUUACCUUUAACAUCUUUGAUCAUUCGAACCAUGAUUACUAUUUUCUAAUGUUCAUGAACAAAACAUGUAUAGUUGAAAGUCGACUGCUACUUUACUACCAACUGUUUGCAUGGUUGCGGUGCGUGGUGCUUACAUUAUAAACUACAGAAAGUAAACAAUAUUCUAUGAUACUUGAUUUGCUGUAAGACUGAUGUGUUCCUUCAACGUCUGUCUGUGAAUUAUUUAAAAUUCCGAAUAAAAGUAUCGGUUUAUAAAUGGGAAGGAUUGUAUAUCGUCUCUGACAGUCUGAACUGACAAAUAGAAAUCUGAUUGUGUAAAAUCUACGGAAUUACUGAGGUCACUCAAUAAAACAUUCAUUGUUGACCCAAGAUUAUAAUAUAUAAUAUCAAGAGUCAAGACCACAUUUAGAAGUUUUAGGUUAAUAUUGGAGAUGAUAAAUCAUUCUGGCAAGAAAAAAAGAUACCUGGUGUACAACACGAAUGUUUUGUUCAAAUCAAGUUCCAGGAAGCUGCAUAACAAGGCACAUCAUAUUGGCCCAGACGGUGUCUUUCAAAUAAAAUAUAUUUCAUUGGUAUUCAAAACUCGGAGGAGACUAAAUGAGACAAGAUGUCGUAGUUCAAUGUUAAUCUCAUAAAUGUAUGAAAAUCAUUCAUUUUAAGAAAAUAU